GGCGCCGGGCGCUCGCCCCGGAAGCGCGACCGGGCUCCCAAGGCCCCGUGAGGGGGGCGGCGCGGCCUGUGCUCGGCCGGGCCGGGGAAGCGCUCCUGGCGGGGCCGCCGCGGCGAGGCGGCAGUGGCUGCCCGGGCAGCUGCGGUGCUGCCCCGGCUCCUCCUGCUGCCCGGGGCAGGCUCGGGGUGCGCGGCUCCUGCAGAUGACUGCAGCUGGCCCAGCACGGUAGUGAGAGGCAGAAGGCGCCGGAGGCAGCGCGCCAGGGUGAGCCGAGCUGCCCUCCCGCACAGCUCGGGGGCUUUCUGAGGCUCCCCCCCGCGCUGGUGUGUGUAGGUUCCCUGAACCUCGUACCUGCCCCCGGUAUUUCGAGGUGGUUCCUGCAGCUUAGAGAAGGGCUGAAACCGAAACAUUGAUCAUAGUAGGCUGGGGAGCAGUGCUGGCAGGUGGAGAAAGAAAUCUUCCUUGUGUGCCUUAUUCACUUACUCAGGGUCGCAAGAAGUUUUUUCCUUCUGUGCCUGGCAGGGGUCACAGUGGGAGUUAAUACCCCUAGAGACUGGGCACAGUUUGCCUGCUGAGACUACUGGAGUUUGACGUGAUCAACCCCCUGCUUGCUCUGGAGGCUCAAGUACCAAUGGAGCUGAACUUGAGCAUACCUUAAUAACUUGGUGUGAAAAUCACUAACCAUGUACUGUUUCUCUCCUUCCAUUCUGCUCCCCUUCCUCACUCUGCAUACUCCUAACUUUCUGCCUCUUUCUCUAAGAAGCAAACUUGUUCAGUGAUAUUCUUUUUAAGAAAAAUCUUUAAGACUAAUGGUACUACCUUGCUAAACUCAUAGCUAGAAGAAGCUACCCCCUUUAAUACUGGAGCUUAGUGCUUUCCAAAGAGGCUCACUGAGAAUUAAUUUUUCAAGAUAGCUUAAAUCAUUCACUGUCCUUGUAAGACAAAUGCUGCAACACCCUGCUGCUAAAUUGCCAUUUUUUAAAUUUAUUGGCUAUGGCAUCCAUCAUUUCCAAUAAAAGUAAAGCUAGCAGUUAUCUUUGGUAAGAGUGUGUUGUGACACUGAUCCUGCUGAGAACAGGAAGUGGUGUCCUAAGGUCAGUGAGGAGGGAGGAAUGGGGCAGAAGAACUGAAAUCUUCAGAAACCUGCUUGAGAAUCUAAGACACAUCAGUUUUAAGAAAGUUCAUCCUUUAUUCUGGGUAAGAGUUCUGUAUUUUGGGAGAAUUUGAGGAUGUGUGUGUGUGUGUGUGUGUGUUUCAAUCUCUGCUUGUACAGACAGUCAAGUUUACCUACUACCUUGCAAAAUGGUACUGCUCUAUGCUGAAGACUCUUCAGGAUAUUAGUGCUGGCGUAAUCUAGAUCCAAAAUAUCCUUCAAUGUGUUACUAAAAUGGCCGCUGAUACAAAUCAAAACUGGACGUUUGAAAAUUCAGCUUAAGUGCUCCUCCGUCACCAUUCUUCAAGGGUAGGGUGCUGCUUCUAUAACUACAUCUGUUUCUGGUGACUGUUAGAAAAUUUCUAAUUAUGUUAUCAGCCAGCGUACAGGAGAGCCCACUGCUUCUACGAGCAUUGUAAUUAAAAGCCACUAAUGGAUUAAAAUAAAUACUGUAGAGCUGGCUAACUCUUUUUACUGGAAAUCUGAGGCUUGCCUACCAAAUGAGAUCUUUGCCAGAAGGAUGGGAGUUGCUGUUUUUCCUGUAGUGAAGCUAAGCAGUUGUCUCCACCUUAGUUCGUUUGAGUAUGAACCAUGUAUCAACUACGAUAGUAGAAUCUGCGGCUUUCUUAGGGGCACUUCAGUGCACGGAGCAUCCCUGUGUUUGUUCAGUGACUGUGCCACGUGUGUUUUUCUUGUUUCCCUUUUAUCCUUUUCUAAACUUAACUCAUAUCUCUGUGGACCAUUCUGUGGGGAGCCACAGCCUUAUCCACAGAGAGAAGGAGCAAGAGAAGUGGGUGGUCAGCCUCUACCAGCUAUAGCUUACCUUGCCCGAUGGCCGUAGAGCAUGCCCACUGGUCUCAAUGGUCUUAUUUUUCUCUUCAUCAGCAUGGGAAAUAGAGUAGUUGAUGACCAGGAAGUGGAAGAUCUAGAAGUGGGAUAGUGUCCUGUUCUGCUCCAGAAUCCCAUCCUGUACAGAGACGCUAAAAGCUGGUACAUAACUAUAGCUCUUUGGUCCUCUCUUGCUUUCUGUAAAACCUCCGUUGGCACAUAUAGUCUGCUGCACUCAGUAGCUAAAAAUUAAAAUGUCUUUUCAUGUCUGCAGCCUCUAAUGCCCUUGAGCUGAUAAGGAAGGUGGUUGAUUCUUGGGAAAGUCAGCCUGGGAAUGGUGAGUUUUAGCAUGAAAUCUUAAACUCCCAGCCCUCCUUUUAAUGUUGGCUGGAGGUCUGCAUGUAUCUAGAAGGGAGCCUUUCAUCUGCUCCUUGUCAAAAUGGCCUCUGCCUGUCCAGUUCAUGCAGUUAAGCAGAACUGGGAACCACUAUGUCAGCAUGGAACUUCAUAUUGCUCAGAAAGACUUCAGCGUACAGCCUGUCAGUCCAGCCAAGGAAGGCAAAAAAAAAAAAAUUGUCUUGCAUUUACUGGGGAGAGGGAGUGGGGAAGAAAGCAAAAAAACAAGGCCUGAUGAGGAAGAGAAUGAAAUUGGAAAACAGGCUUAAAAGCUGUUUUGUGACUUGGGAAAGGGAGAGAAAGAUCAACAUCAUGAACAAUGAAGGCACAGAACGGGCAGUGCUCCAGGCAAAAUAUAUGUUCUCUUCCAGGGGCUAAAUUAGUGUUAAUGAAGAGGAAAGCCUGAAUAAGCCACUCAGACCUAAGAGUUCAGGUUGAGAAGGCAAAUUUAGUCCUACUUUGUUACUUAUGCCUUCAAAUAACUGUUUUCUUUCUAUUGCAUUAAAUUAAUUGCUAAGUAAUAUUCGGUUUUGAAUGACCUGGAGUUGCUUUUGUAGUCUGGCGCUUGCUGAGGUGAAGUAGCACAUGCUCUCUGCUUGCAGCCAUGCUAAUAUCUGAAAAAUCUUAAUGUUUUAAAAUCUGUGUCAAAGGCGAUGUAUCUGUUCAACACCCAUGUACCCUACUCAGAUUUCUUCAAAAGAAGGUGGAAAAUUAAGCCCAAGUGUUCUGCAAGAUCUAGAUACAUUGUAUUUCUUCCUUAUAAAUCUGCUGUACAAAAAUAAAACCGGACAUGGAAAUAUUUAUGAAAUGGCACAUGGAAUUUUUUUCCUGGAGAUGGAAUUUCUCUGGAAUUCUCCCUGUGAUGCUUCCCCAUUCACAUCUCUUCAACUCUGUGCCUUAAAGAGGAGGAGCUCUGAGAGACAAAGAGCUUUGCCUUUGCCCCCCUCUGCUGUGGCCUGGACCUUGCAGGACUCGGUCCUUUGUAGUUCACAGUGUGGCUUGUCCCCUGCCGCUUGCUCCGAGUGCUGCUGUCUAGCCUGUUAUCUUUGCAUUUUUUAUCACUCUGUUUAUUGUUAGCUCAACUGGAUCUCCUGUAUAAUGUGAGUUUCCCCUGUUGCUAUGUAGAAAGAAAAAUCCAUCCAAAUAUGAGGUUUGUGAAAAACGGCUCUGUGAUUGGGAAUCUGUGUAAUUGGUGGCAAGGCAGACUAUGGUGGUAUAGCUGAAACAGGUUUUAGCUUUUUUUGAGCAUGUAUAAUUUCUGCAAUGGUACUGAAAUCCCAUAUGUUUUCAUAAAAUCUGGCUUAUUUUCAUGUCUCGUUUGAAUCAGAUUUGUUCUGUUUGUGACGCUGGCCUUAACGUAUGUUCAGCUGAACGUCAUUCCUGCGUUCAGCUCUUUCAGGCUGCUCUCAGGCAGGCCUUGACCAGUUUCACCCUGCCUCCUCCAAGCCACUCCCAAAGAAAUCCUCCUGGACCUGCGGCACACAGGUCUUUGAAAAGGGACGUGGAAGAAGUGGGGAGAGCGCAGGAAAAUGAGACCAUCAAGCAACAUCAGUCUUGUGACGCCCUUCCUCACAGCAGUUGCAUCAUUUCUAUAAAUAGAAUUUGAGAUCCUUUGGGAAAUGGCACUUUUGUUUUGUUUUGUAGCGUACCCAGUAAAUUUUGAGUCUUGCUUAAAUAAGCUGUGUAUGAAGUAGAAGAGUAGAGUGGGCUUAAAGAUGCUUUAUUUCUUUCUUCUCCUGUAUAGUCCUGCUUCCCAGUGGUGAUAAUGGACUUCAGGAGGUAGAAAUGGUAUUGCCCAUUGCUCAUGAAAGCUAAAAUCAAAGGUGAAGGGAGAUUGUAGGAGACUGGUAUGCUGCCAGGCUGUGCAAGGAGAAUUUCCACAGAAUCCUGUAGUAUUCUCUAGCCGUAGGUGCUUCUUGCCUGCUGGUAGCUUUAAUAAAUACAAAAAUGAUAACAUGCAUAAUUAAAUGCAGAGAAACCAGGCAGGAUACACUGGUUGGAACACUCUUUUGAUGAUAAAUCAAGGAAAAUUACACAGGUAGGAGUGGAAAGAGCAGCUGAAAGGAGUGUUGGUUUGAGCCACAGUUACAAUUUGAAACAGUGUCUCAGUUUCCUUUCCUGCCUGGUUCAGACUAAUUUCUUGCAGUAUGUCUGAUUUUUCCAGCCAAAUCUCUUGUCCUGUGUUAGGACACAGCCUGGAUAGUGCACUACCUUUUUUCUAAAGUAGUUUGGGCCAUCUUGUGUUUGAUGAGAUUGAGCCAUAUUUGACAUGGAAUCAUAAGGACUCUUGAGAAGGAGUAAAAUAUUAAAACUGAAAGGUUCUGUGAAACUGUAGAUUAGAUUUGAUCUUUCAGAGUACAGAAGCAGAGGGAAAGAUGUUACAAUUUAUGGGAGCCUAGCCUACAAGGAGACUGUAGAAGAUUUCACUACCUGUGUUUUGUGGAAGGAAAGUACAACUCGGUUACGUGGGCCACCUGCAAUGCCUCAGGUAGAGCUGCAGCUAUAGUUCUCCACUGUGGACUCAGAUGAAUGUUCAGAUUCAUCUUCCUGUUCUCAGUGGGUGUUACUCUUCAACUUCCAGACAUCUCCAUUAAAACCAAGAACUCCUAGCGUCUCAGCACUUAGAAGGGACACACUGCCAUGCGAACUAACGUGACAAAAGUCCGAGAAAGGGGACCUGCAGCACGCAGCUGCAGUGCCGGAAGUGAGACAGUCUGAAGUCUGUGUUUCACUAGUAAGUUCAGUUUCUCUUGAGUUGAUAGUUCACUACUUCAGUAGUUUAUUCUGGACAAAUCCAGUCUCGUAACUCCUAAAAGGUGCAGGAGGUGUAUUAUAUGCAGGCGUAUUAUAUGCAGGCCUGAAUUUUGUCAUGCCAAGCACAGAGGGCCUGCGUGACCAUAUGGCCACCUCUGCGUUAUCAUCUGGAGCAUAUAUGCUAUGCUGAGGGGUGCUAAUGUGACCUGAUAGUCCACCUGGUAAACCCAUGCCUGAAACAUUUACAAGGGUCCAUUUGGUGGUGUUUCUUUGGCACCUAUGAGCUGUAGAGAAACAGUUACAAAUGAUGGUGCAGAGGUAAUGCUUAUACAAGAGAGGCUCAGAAGCAGUUUUUAGGAACCUGUUCAGUGACUGGAUCUGAAAUGCUUUGAAGUCCCUGGAGUUAUACAGAAUUUUCUCUCCUGCCCCCUCCAGUGGAGUGAGCUCGAAGGAAUCGCUUGAAUUAGUAGUAUAUUCUCCAACUUAUGUACUUUAUUAUCAGAUAAUUUUUGAAAUGCUGCAUCAUGUCUAUAGCCUGUUGAAGAAUAUGAAAAAUAAACCUUGACUGCAACUGUUUUAAUUCUA